CAGGAUUGCUGUAGUGUGUGUAUAAGCAUUCUUACAUAGGUGCUCAUCACUUGUCUCUUUUGCAUUUUGUGAUGUGACACCAGAAUAUGAACAGACUCUGUUUAAAAGUAUUCCAUUUCAUGUGAUGUGGAAGCUCUGUCUAUGAUGAUCCAUUCAUAUUUUCAAUACAUCACGGGGUAUGUGGUGAUAAUGCAGAUGUGUAUAAGAACUCUGGGACUGGCAGCCAAAUGUCUUAAGUGGCUCCUCUUGAACCAAUUUGAUACCAGAGCCUACACUUAUCACUAGGGCCAAAACCAGUUUGGAUAUUCUGGGCACUGUGGUACAAAAAAACAUGCAAUUCUCCAUGUUAGAUGCAGGGCCUUGGAAAGAAAUAUCAGAACAGAGCCAAGAGGAAGAAAGAAGAUACAUGGGAUGAAAUGGAGACAAUAUCAGCUGACCAUCUACUCAGCAAUUUCCUUUUGGGGCAGCUCUUGGGAGAGAGGCAAACUGCAGAGAAUGUGGAAGGGAGUCACAGGGACAUGAAAGAAGUCUCCCAGCUAACACAUCUGGGCGUCCUCUGGGCAACGUUUCUGUAGGCGGACAAUUCUCUCACACCAGAAGCAACUUGCUGUAUGUUCUCAAGUUGCUUCUGACAAGAUAAAAAAUAAAUAAAUCUGGAAGUGA